UACGGAGGGUGCAAGCGUUGUCCGGAUUUAUUGGGUUUAAAGGGUGCGUAGGCGGACAAUUAAGUCAGUGGUGAAAUACUUCGGCUCAACCGGAGAGGUGCCAUUGAUACUGGUUGUCUAGAGUACAGACGAGGUAGGCGGAAUUUAUGGUGUAGCGGUGAAAUGCAUAGAUACCAUAAAGAACACCGAUAGCGAAGGCAGCUUACUAGACUGUAACUGACGCUGAGGCACGAAAGCGUGGGUAGCGAACAGG
rnacentral:rRNA from 1 species